AUAUUGUCUAUAUUUUGGUUUCAACGGUUUGCAUACUAUCGCAAUAUCAAUCUAUAUAUUUUUUGCAUAGGAUAACAACUAUGUGGUUCAUAAGUGAUUAAUAUGAUUACUAGUUAUAAAGGUUGUCAACUUAUGUGACAAUAAGCAGAUGUCAUUUUUAUUGAUAUUCAGAUUUCUUUUUCUAUCUAUUGUUAUUAAACUAUAGCAAUUUUAAUCUAUGGUGUAGUUUGAAUUACUCUAUUAAAAAUGCAUGUGUAUAAUGUAACAGCUUCUAAGUUAUGAGCAUCAUAUUUUAGGACCAAGUUUGGACAAACCAGAAGAGCAUUAAGUGUGAUCAAUCAUAAUCUAGUGCAAGUUAGGUCGACCUUAUCCUUGUGUUGUUAACAAGAGGCCUUUACCAUUAUCAACUAAUCUUAUUUUACUUUACUUUACUUUUUGUUUUGGAUAGAAAUAUUAAUUCUAUAUCACUUUUAAGGUAAUUAUGUUAAAAUCUUAAAUGCCUUCAACUAGGUGAAUAUAUUUGUGAUUAGAUUUUAUAUUGACGUUGUGUCAAAUGUUAAAUUUUUAGUUUUAGGUGACUGAUUGGCAAUGAGAGCCUAGGAUUCCCUUAGAAAUUAAAGAUUUCUUUUUCCCUUGUGAAAUAAAAGCAGCAACUCUAUGUAACUUUAAACAAUUAGAAGGAGGAAAGUGAAUUUCAAUUAUUAUAUUUUUUCUUAAUAAGAAGCCAAGAAAAAUAUUAAUGAAUUCAAUUCUAUUAUAAACUCAAAUCCAUGUGUUGGAACACCUUGUAUUAAUGAAUUGAAUUAUGAUUUCGGAAACUGAAGUAUAAAACUCUUCUUACCAAUGAUCCUUUAGGUAAUCUGCAUCCAAAUCAAGCAGAUUAGAACCCCGCAGGUGACAAAUGCAUUCACAAAUCUUCUUUACCAGAAAAGUAGGCACGACGAACUAAAUCCAUGUUCAUUUCCACUGGAAACAAACUCUGCUGCUCAUUUCCUAUAUAUAGACACCAUAGCCAUAGGCAGGGGCCAGUUCUAUUUACAGCCACGUUGAGUUCUCUCUGUUUCUCUCUGUGUCUGUCUCAUCAGGUUUUCAGAUGGGUUUGAGGGUCCAUUAUUCUUCAUUGUUGGUGUUCUGUGUGUUGUUGUUCCAAAUACUUGUGCUUGUACAGUAAGCAAAAGCAACAAAGUUCUACAAUGUGAUGCAUUCACUGAGGAUGAUUGGAAAUUGGUUUAUUUCUUAUUUAUUCAGAACCUCUAAUUUGUUCUUAUUUAAUGGCAUAUAGUCUAUAGACCAUGGGAACCUGUUUAUUGAGUAUUUAUUGGUUUUCUAUUGUGGGAGUUGGAGCAUUUUGAAUUGAAUAUGUAUUUCUUCAAUUGUUAAGACAAAGAUAAUAGUAACAUGAUUUGACUGUGACACAGGCUGGACUAUCUAUACUAAUGUUUCCUAAUCACUGAAUCUUAUUGACUACUUGUGUACUCCCUUUCUAUGUUUGUGAAUUUAGGUGGGUUAAGAAUGGUGAAUUUAUUAGGUUAACUGAAAUUAAUGCUCAAUUAUCUUGUGUCUUGUAUUAAAUAGACAUUGUCUAUUGUCAUUGCAUGAUCUUUCAAAAAUUAGUAUCAAAUUACACUUUUUAACUGGGUAUUCUUCUUUGAUCUUAUAUCAUUCAUUCUUUGCAUUUAGCAAUUUUGUUUCAUACUUAAUGCUAUCAUAUGUUGGUUACAGGGUGAUGCCGACAAUGCACUAGACGACCGCUUAUGCCAGAAGAAGAAAGUCGAGAAGCAGCAGUAGUAGAGAUGUUCAAUGACAGUAUUUUUUUUAUGAACUAAAUUCUUGCUAGAGAUAUUUUGAGUAUUACUAUCUUUAUAUGGUAGAAUUUCUAAUGUAUCAACACACUAUUUGUGUUUAUGAUUUGAAUUGACUUACUUGUUUAUAA